rnacentral:rRNA from 1 species
AUUGAACGCUGGCGGCAGGCCUAACACAUGCAAGUCGAACGGUAACAGGAAGCAGCUUGCUGCUUUGCUGACGAGUGGCGGACGGGUGAGUAAUGUCUGGGAAACUGCCCGAUGGAGGGGGGUAACUACUGGAAACGGUAGCGAAUACCGCAUAACGUCGCAAGACCAAAGAGGGGGACCUUAGGGCCUCUUGCCAGCGGAUGUGCCCAGAUGGGAUUAGCUAGUAGGUGGGGUAACGGCUCACCUAGGCGACGAUCCCUAGCUGGUCUGAGAGGAUGACCAGCCACACUGGAACUGAGACACGGUCCAGACUCCUACGGGAGGCAGCAGUGGGGAAUAUUGCACAAUGGGCGCAAGCCUGAUGCAGCCAUGCCGCGUGUAUGAAGAAGGCCUUCGGGUUGUAAAGUACUUUCAGCGGGGAGGAAGGGAGUAAAGUUAAUACCUUUGCUCAUUGACGUUACCCGCAGAAGAAGCACCGGCUAACUCCGUG